UUGAUCAUGGCUCAGGAUGAACGCUAGCGGCAGGCCUAACACAUGCAAGUCGAGGGGUAACAUAAGGUGCUUGCACUUUGAUGACGACCGGCGCACGGGUGAGUAACGCGUAUACAAUCUGCCUCAUACUAGGGAAUAGCCCAGAGAAAUUUGGAUUAAUGCCCUAUAGUAUCAUUAAGAGUCAUCUCUUUUUGGUUAAAGGUUACGGUAUGAGAUGAGUAUGCGUUCUAUUAGUUAGUAGGUGAGGUAACGGCUCACCUAGACUGCGAUAGAUAGGGGCCCUGAGAGGGGGAUCCCCCACACUGGUACUGAGACACGGACCAGACUCCUACGGGAGGCAGCAGUGAGGAAUAUUAGACAAUGGGCGAAAGCCUGAUCUAGCCAUGCCGCGUGCAGGAUGACGGCCCUAUGGGUUGUAAACUGCUUUUAUACAGGAAGAAAAAACUCUACGUGUAGAGUCUUGACGGUACUGUAAGAAUAAGGAUCGGCUAACUCCGUGCCAGCAGCCGCGGUAAUACGGAGGAUCCAAGCGUUAUCCGGAAUUAUUGGGUUUAAAGGGUCCGUAGGUGGACAAUUAAGUCAGAGGUGAAAUCCUGCAGCUCAACUGUAGAAUUGCCUUUGAAACUGGUUGUCUUGAGUCAUUAUGAAGUGGUUAGAAUGUGUAGUGUAGCGGUGAAAUGCAUAGAUAUUACACAGAAUACCAAUUGCGAAGGCAGAUCACUAAUAAUGUACUGACACUGAUGGACGAAAGCGUGGGUAGCGAACAGGAUUAGAUACCCUGGUAGUCCACGCCGUAAACGAUGGUUACUAGCUGUUCGGACUUCGGUCUGAGUGGCUAAGCGAAAGUGAUAAGUAACCCACCUGGGGAGUACGUUCGCAAGAAUGAACUCAAAGGAAUUGACGGGGGCCCGC
rnacentral:rRNA from 1 species